GGACGAACGCUGGCGGCGCGCCUAACACAUGCAAGUCGAACGGGCUUAAAGAAGCUUGCUUUUUAAAGCUAGUGGCGGACGGGUGAGUAACGCGUGAGCAACCUGCCUUCAGAGGGGAAUAACGAUUGGAAACGAUCGCUAAUACCGCAUAAUGCUGCGAGAGGACAUCCUCAUGCAGCCAAAAGGAGUAAUCCGCUGAAAAGAUGGGCUCGCGGCCGAUUAGAUAGUUGGUGAGGUAAUGGCUCACCCAAGUCGACGAUCGGUAGCCGGACUGAGAGGUUGAUCGGCCACAUUGGGACUGAGACACGGCCCAGACUCCUACGGGAGGCAGCAGUGGGGGAUAUUGCACAAUGGAGGGAAAAAACCUCUGAUGCAGCGACGCCGCGUGAGGGAAGACGGUCUUCGGAUUGUAAACCUCUGUCUUAGGGGAAGAAAAAUGACGGUACCCUAAGAGGAAGCUCCGGCUAACUACGUGCCAGCAGCCGC
rnacentral:rRNA from 1 species